UACGAAGGGGGCUAGCGUUGCUCGGAAUUACUGGGCGUAAAGCGCACGUAGGCGGCUUUCUAAGUCGGGGGUGAAAUCCUGGAGCUCAACUCCAGAACUGCCUUCGAUACUGGAGAGCUCGAGUCCGGGAGAGGUGAGUGGAACUGCGAGUGUAGAGGUGAAAUUCGUAGAUAUUCGCAAGAACACCAGUGGCGAAGGCGGCUCACUGGCCCGAUACUGACGCUGUGGCACGAAAGCGUGGGGAGCAAACAGG
rnacentral:rRNA from 1 species